rnacentral:rRNA from 1 species
UACAGAGGUCUCAAGCGUUGUCCGGAAUCAUUGGGCGUAAAGAGCGUGUAGGCGGUCCGGUAAGUCCGCUGUGAAAGUCGGGGGCUCAACCCUCGAAUGCCGGUGGAUACUGUCGGGCUAGAGUGCGGAAGAGGCGAGUGGAAUUCCUGGUGUAGCGGUGAAAUGCGCAGAUAUCAGGAGGAACACCGAUUGCGAAGGCAGCUCGCUGGGACGUAACUGACGCUGAGACGCGAAAGCGUGGGGAGCGAACAGG